UACGUAGGGGGCAAGCGUUGUCCGGAUUUAUUGGGCGUAAAGAGCGUGUAGGCGGUUAGGUAGGUCCGUUGUGAAAACUCGAGGCUCAACCUCGAGACGCCGAUGGAAACCAUCUAACUAGAGUCCGGAAGAGGAGAGUGGAAUUCCGUGGAUGUAGCGGUGAAAUGCGCAGAGUAUCAGGAAGAACACCCGUGGCUAAGGCGGCUCUCUAGUACGGUACUGACGCUGAGACGCGAAAGCGUGGGGGAGCGAACAGG
rnacentral:rRNA from 1 species